GAUGAACGCUGGCGGCGUGCCUAAUACAUGCAAGUCGAGCGAACAGACGAGAGUGCUUGCACUCUCUGACGUUAGCGGCGGACGGGUGAGUAACACGUGGGUAACCUACCUAUAAGACUGGGAUAACUUCGGGAAACCGGAGCUAAUACCGGAUAAUACUUAGCUUCGCAUGAAGCAAUAGUGAAAGACGGUUCUGCUGUCACUUAUAGAUGGACCCGCGGUGUAUUAGCUAGUUGGUGAGGUAACGGCUCACCAAGGCAACGAUACAUAGCCGACCUGAGAGGGUGAUCGGCCACACUGGGACUGAGACACGGCCCAGACUCCUACGGGAGGCAGCAGUAGGGAAUCUUCCGCAAUGGACGAAAGUCUGACGGAGCAAUGCCGCGUGAGUGAAGAAGGUUUUCGGAUCGUAAAACUCUGUUGUAAGGGAAGAACAAGUACGUUAGUAACUGAACGUACCUUGACGGUACCUUACCAGAAAGCCACGGCUAACUACGUG
rnacentral:rRNA from 1 species